CAGGCCUCCAGCCUGAGAAGCUCCACAAAGUCCAUUACUGCUGUUGCCCCUGCAAAGUCAAAGCCAAGGUCCCCUCUGGUCCUGCAUCACCUGCACUACCUUAGGCUGGAUAUCAACGUCUUGGGUCUGCCAUAGCAAAGUGCACAAGAUAAGUGGCUUAAAACAGCAGAAAUUUAUUCCCCAACAGUUCUGGAGGUCAGAAGUUCAAAAUCAAAGUGUUGGCAGGUUCGUGCUCUCUCUGAAGACUCCAGGAGUUUCCUCCCAACAGUGAAGAGAACUCAGCAGUGAGCCUCUGUGGAGAAGGGGGCAUUUAAGCUGGGCCCCAGACUCAGCAGAGGGAAUUCUGGAGCAAAAGUGCCAAGGAGGGUGCAAGCUUGGCUCUGCAGGAACUGGGGCCAUGUGACAGCAGUCUUUCUCCAAUAGGAUGCCCAUAGC
rnacentral:lncRNA from 10 species